UACGUAGGGCGCAAGCGUUGUCCGGAAUUAUUGGGCGUAAAGAGCUCGUAGGCGGUUUGUCGCGUCUGCUGUGAAAACCUAAGGCUCAACCUUGGGCUUGCAGUGGGUACGGGCAGACUAGAGUGCGGUAGGGGUGACUGGAAUUCCUGGUGUAGCGGUGGAAUGCGCAGAUAUCAGGAGGAACACCGAUGGCGAAGGCAGGUCACUGGGCCGCAAUUGACGCUGAGGAGCGAAAGCAUGGGGAGCGAACAGG
rnacentral:rRNA from 1 species